rnacentral:misc_RNA from 1 species
AAUGGAGAAAAAAGAUUAUGUAGCUAACCUAACCUAUUUGAAAUUGAGACCUAGUUAAGUAGUUUCUAGGGCGUUAGUGUAAAAGAAGAAAAUAACAUCUGACAGACAGUAAAUAGCUGAAUUUGGUGCUUAUAUUCAAGAUACUUUGAGAUAAUGGAAAAGGAAAAUAUCACAAAAUCAGUCUCUAAUGCCGACAUAUACAAAACAAACUCAGUUAUCACACUCAAUUUGCCUUCAGGUUAAAAUAGCAUGCAGUUACUAAUUUAUACAAGGGGAAACAUGAGACCAUACAAUUUCAACUAAUUUUGAGCUGGAAGAAAUAGAAC